rnacentral:rRNA from 1 species
CAUACCAUGUUGAAUAUACCGGUUCUCGUUAGAUCACCGAAGUCAAGCAUCAUUGGGCAAGGUCAGUACUUGGGUGGGUGACCACCUGGGAACACCGCGUGCCGUU